UUGUAAUGAUGUUGAUCAAAUGUCUGACCUGAAAUUAGCAUGUAGACAACUCUAACACUGAAGAA
ensembl:snoRNA small nucleolar RNA SNORD78